GUAACAUUUCCUCCCUUUACAGACUAGAAGAGAGAAAAAAGGGUAUAACAUGCUAUUUUCCUGAUAGAUCACUCUUUGAAGAUAUGUACAUUACUCCACGUGGAAGAUUUCUUCAGAGCAACGAAUAGAUAUUUGAA
rnacentral:lncRNA from 1 species